rnacentral:rRNA from 1 species
CCCGACUGCUAUUUGGGUGAGAGUAAGCCAUGCGAGUUGAAUGGAAUACCUAAAUUUUCCAUAGCAAACUGCUCAGUAACACAUGAUCAACUUACCCUAUAGAGAAAAAUAACCUCGGGAAACUGAGGAUAAUGUUUCAUAGUUGAAAAGGCUUGGAAAAGUUUUUCAAUAAAAAGGAUAAGAAAAAUGGUUCUUAUCCGCUAUAGGAUAGGAUCGUGCUCGAUUAUGGUUGUUGGUGAGGUAAUGGCUCACCAAGCCGAUAAUCGAUAGGGGCCGUGAGAGCGGGAGCCCCGAGAUGGGUACUGAGACAACGACCCAGGCCUUACGAGGCGCAGCAGGCGCGAAACCUCAGCAAUACACGAAAGUGUGACUGGGUUACCCAAAGUGUUCAGUUUUGAACUGUGGUAGGUGAGUAAUGUCCCCUACUAGAAAGGAGAGGGCAAGGCUGGUGCCAGCCGCCGCGGUAAAACCAGCUCUUCAAGUGGUCGGGAUAAUAUUGGGCUUAAAGUGUCCGUAGCCUGUUUAGUAAGUUCCUGGUAAAAUCGGGUAGCUUAACUAUCUGUAUGCUAGGAAUACUGCUAAACUAGAGGGCGGGAGAGGUCUGAGGUACUACAGGGGUAGGGGUGAAAUCUUAUAAUCCUUGUAGGACCACCAGUGGCGAAGGCGUCAGACUGGAACGUGCCUGACGGUGAGGGACGAAAGCCAGGGGAGCGAACCGGAUUAGAUACCCGGGUAGUCCUGGCCGUAAACGAUGCAUACUAGGUGAUGGCAUGGCCAUGAGCCGUGUCAGUGCCGUAGGGAAACCGUUAAGUAUGCCGCCUGGGAAGUACGGUCGCAAGGCUAAAACUUAAAGGAAUUGGCGGGGGAGCACCACAAGGGGUGAAGCCUGCGGUUCA